rnacentral:rRNA from 1 species
AGUGAACGCUGGCGGCGUGCUUAACACAUGCGAGUCGAACGAUAACGGGCUAUAGCUUGCUAUAGUUGUCAGCUAAGUGGCGCACGGGUGAGUAAUGUAUAGGUAAUAUGCCUCUUACUAAGGGAUAACAAAUGGAAACGUUUGCUAAUACCUUAUACUCCUUAUUAACAGAAGUUAAUAAGGGAAAGAUUUAUUGGUAAGAGAUUAGCCUGUAUUGUAUCAGUUAGUUGGUGGGGUAAUGGCUUACCAAGACUAUGACACAUAACUGGUUUGAGAGGAUGAUCAGUCACACUGGAACUGAGACACGGUCCAGACUCCUACGGGAGGCAGCAGUGGGGAAUAUUGCACAAUGGACGAAAGUCUGAUGCAGCAACGCCGCGUGGAGGAUGACACAUUUCGGUGCGUAAACUCCUUUUAUAUGAGAAGAUAAUGACGGUAUUAUAUGAAUAAGCACCGGCUAACUCCGUGCCAGCAGCCGCGGUAAAAC